rnacentral:tRNA from 1 species
GGGUGUGGCUCAGUGGUAGAGCUCUUGCCUAGCAUGCACAAGACCCUGGGUUCAAUUCCUAGCAACACA